UACGUAGGGGGCUAGCGUUGUCCGGAAUCAUUGGGCGUAAAGAGCGUGUAGGCGGCCCGGUAAGUCCGCUGUGAAAGUCGGGGGCUCAACCCUCGAAUGCCGGUGGAUACUGUCGGGCUAGAGUGCGGAAGAGGCGAGUGGAAUUCCUGGUGUAGCGGUGAAAUGCGCAGAUAUCAGGAGGAACACCGAUAGCGAAGGCAGCUCGCUGGGACGGUACUGACGCUGAGGUGCGAAAGCGUGGGGAGCGAACAGG
rnacentral:rRNA from 1 species